UGGGGAAUCAUGGUCAAUGGGCGAAAGCCUGAACCUGCGACGCCGCGUGAGUGAUGAAGGUCGUAAGAUCGUAAAACUCUUUUCAGGGAUCUUAAAGCCUGUCUGUCAACAACAGGCAGGUCUGACUCUCCCUGGAAGAAGCCCCAGCCAACUACGUGCCAGCAGCCGCGGUAAUACGUAGGGGGCAAGCGUUAUCCGGAAUUAUUGGGCGUAAAGGGUGCGUAGGUGGUGAGGUAAGUUUGGUGUGAAAUCUCCGAGCCUAACUCGGAAACUUCAUUAAAUACUAUCUUGCUUGAGGGUCGGAGGGGAGACUGGAAUUCUCGGUGUAGCAGUGAAAUGCGUAGAUAUCGAGAGGAACACCAGUGGCGAAAGCGAGUCUCUGGACGACACCUGACACUGAGGCACGAAAGCUAGGGGAUCAAACA
rnacentral:rRNA from 1 species